AGUGAACGCUGGCGGCAGGCUUAACACAUGCAAGUCGAGCGAGCGGCGGACGGGUGAGUAAUGUCUGGGAAACUGCCUGAUGGGGGGGGAUAACUACUGGAAACGGUAGCUAAUACCGCAUACCAUCAGAUGUGCCCAGAUGGGCUUAGCUAGUAGGUGGGGUAAUGGCGCACCUAGGCGACGAUCCCUAGCUGGUCUGAGAGGAUGACCGGCCACACUGGAACUGAGCAACGGUCCGGACUCCUAGGGGGGGCAGCAGGGGGGAAUAUUGGACAAUGGGCGCAAGCCGGAUGCGGCCAUGCCGCGUGUGUGAAGAAGGCCUUCGGGUUGUAAAGCACUUUCAGCGAGGAGGCGUUACUCGAAGAGGAAGCACCGGCUAACUCCGUGCCAGCAGCCGCGGUAAUUC
rnacentral:rRNA from 1 species